rnacentral:lncRNA from 1 species
AUCAAUGAAAGCUGACCAGGAGAACAGGUCCUUCAGGCCAGUGUUUGAACUAUACUAUUGAUUGAGAUUUAAAAUAGCAGUAUUUUCCCAAUUUAUCCCAGAUAAAGCAAUGAAAGUCAUUUAAAAUAAGCACAAGUAUUAUUAGUUAUCAGGUGUAUUACGAUAUCUUGAGAGAGAAAAGCUCUGUUUCCUUUCUGGCCCCAUCACUAACACAACUUAAGGUGAACCGUAUUAAACAUGUCAGGAGGAAAAUUACUUAAAAUAGGAAUCGGAUGCAGUGAGGAAGAGGAGGAUGAAGAGGAUCGCAGAACGAUCAUCUGCUGCUUUGGACACAUUGGUUGACUUCUACAUGGAACCAUAGAUGCCGACAAAGAACUGCCAAACCCCCUCUUCAACAAGAUCAUACAUGAUUGUCAUCUUAGAUCAAUGGAGAAAUCAUUGUAUCACAUGACAGGUUUGAGGAUAAAAAGGCCUUAAUAUUAGCCCUUAAUAUUCCUGAUGGCACGUUUUCAUGAUGCAGGUUUGUGAUUAGUGAUUAACGCUUAGUUUUUUUUUCCUGCCUCGGACCAUCUGGGAAGCAGCUAAAUGGACCACUGCAGCCAGUCAGCCCAUUAACCAUCGCUCCCGCUCUCAUUUUGCCCUCUGUUCAUCUUGACUUGAUUUCAAGACCGUUCUUCUAAUUUUUUUUUUUAACUCUGUGAGCUAUGAGAUUGCAGUGCCUUCAUCAAAACCAUAAAUAGCUUCUGAUGGCAUUCACGCUCUUGCAUUUGUUGCUUUUAUUAUGUGUAUUAUUAGGCUGAAUGGAUGAUUUGCAAUUAAUGCUGUUCAGAGUAGGAAGGAAAGGGAAGGGGGGAGGUGGAGGAGUAGACCAAGGGAUA